rnacentral:rRNA from 1 species
UACGUAGGGGGCAAGCGUUGUCCGGAAUCAUUGGGCGUAAAGCGCACGUAGGCGGCCCUGUAAGUCCGUUGUGAAAGUCAAAGGCUCAACCUUUGAAUGCCGAUGGAUACUGCAGGGCUAGAGUCCGGAAGAGGCGAGUGGAAUUCCUGGUGUAGCGGUGGAAUGCGCAGAUAUCAGGAGGAACACCAGUAGCGAAGGCAGCUCGCUGGGACGGUACUGACGCUAAGGUGCGAAAGCGUGGGGAGCGAACAGG